rnacentral:rRNA from 1 species
CCAGACUCCUACGGGAGGCAGCAGUGGGGAAUAUUGGGCAAUGGGCGAAAGCCUGACCCAGCAACGCCGCGUGAAGGAAGAAGGCUUUCGGGUUGUAAACUUCUUUUGACAGGGAAGAGCAGAAGACGGUACCUGUCGAAUAAGCCACGGCUAACUACGUGCCAGCAGCCGCGGUAAUACGUAGGGGGCAAGCGUUAUCCGGAUUUACUGGGUGUAAAGGGAGCGUAGACGGCAUGGCAAGUCAGAUGUGAAAGCCCGGGGCUCAACCCCGGGACUGCAUUUGAAACUGUUUUUCUUGAGUACUGGAGAGGCAGACGGAAUUCCUAGUGUAGCGGUGAAAUGCGUAGAUAUUAGGAGGAACACCAGUGGCGAAGGCGGUCUGCUGGACAGCAACUGACGCUGGGGCGCGAAAGCGUGGGGAGCAAACAGGAUUAGAUACCCUAGUAA